UGUAAUCCUGGACGGACCACCGGUGGCGAAAGCGCCUCUGGAAAACGGAUCCGACAGUGAGGGACGAAAGCUUGGGUCUCGAACCGGAUUAGAUACCCGGGUAGUCCAAGCUGUAAACGAUGCUCGCUAGGUGUGGCGCAGGCUACGAGCCUGCGCUGUGCCGUAGGGAAGCCGUGAAGCGAGCCGCCUGGGAAGUACGUCUGCAAGGGAUGAAACUUAAAGGAAUUGGCGGGGGAGCACUACAACCGGAGGAGCCUGCGGUUUAAUUGGACUCAACGCCGGACAUCUCACCAGCUCCGACAGCAGUCAUGACGGGUCAGGUUGAUGACCUUACCCGACGCUGCUGAGAGGAGGUGCAUGGCCGCCGUCAGCUCGUACCGUGAGGCGUCCUGUUAAGUCAGGCAACGAGCGAGACCCGCACCUCUAGUUGCCAGCAGCAUCUCGCGAUGGCUGGGUACACUAGGGGGACUGCCGUAGCCAAUACGGAGGAAGGAACGGGCAACGGUAGGUCAGUAUGCCCCGAAUGAGCUGGGCAACACGCGGGCUACAAUGGCCAGGACAGUGGGACGCGACAUCGAGAGGUGGAGCUAAU
rnacentral:rRNA from 1 species